GCGCCCUUGGUCUAUCGGUAUGAUACGAGCUUCCCAAGCUCGUGAGCUGGGUUCAAUUCCCAGAGGGCGCA
rnacentral:tRNA from 2 species